AGUGAACGCUGGCGGUAGGCCUAACACAUGCAAGUCGAACGGCAGCACAGUAAGAGCUUGCUCCUACGGGUGGCGAGUGGCGGACGGGUGAGGAAUACAUCGGAAUCUACUUUUUCGCGGGGGAUAACGUAGGGAAACUUACGCUAAUACCGCAUACGACCUACGGGUGAAAGCAGGGGAUCUUCGGACCUUGCGCGAUUGAAUGAGCCGAUGUCGGAUUAGCUAGUUGGCGGGGUAAAGGCCCACCAAGGCGACGAUCCGUAGCUGGUCUGAGAGGAUGAUCAGCCACACUGGAACUGAGACACGGUCCAGACUCCUACGGGAGGCAGCAGUGGGGAAUAUUGGACAAUGGGCGCAAGCCUGAUCCAGCCAUACCGCGUGGGUGAAGAAGGCCUUCGGGUUGUAAAGCCCUUUUGUUGGGAAAGAAAAGCAGCAGGUUAAUACCCCGCUGUUCUGACGGUACCCAAAGAAUAAGCACCGGCUAACUUCGUG
rnacentral:rRNA from 1 species